rnacentral:rRNA from 1 species
GACGAACGCUGGCGGCGUGCUUAACACAUGCAAGUCGAACGGAAAGGCCCUGCUUUUGUGGGGUGCUCGAGCGGCGAACGGGUGAGUAACACGUGAGUAACCUGCCCUUGACUUUGGGAUAACUUCAGGAAACUGGGGCUAAUACCGGAUAGGAGCUCCUGCUGCAUGGUGGGGGUUGGAAAGUUUCGGCGGUUGGGGAUGGAAUCGCGGCUUAUCGGCUUGUUGGUGGGGUAGUGGCUUACCAAGGCUUUGACGGGUAGCAGGCCUGAGAGGGUGACCGGCGACAUUGGGACUGAGGGACGGCCCAGACUCCUACGGGAGGCAGCAGUGGGGAAGAUUGCACAAGGGGCGGAAGCCGGAUGCAGCAGCGCCGCGUGCGGGAUGACGGCCUUCGGGUUGAAAACCGCAUGCGCCUGUGACGAAGCGUGAGUGACGGUAAUGGGUAAAGAAGCACCGGCUAACUACGUGC